GACGAACGCUGGCGGCGUGCUUAACACAUGCAAGUCGAACGGAAAGGCCCUGCUUUUGUGGGGUGCUCGAGUGGCGAACGGGUGAGUAACACGUGAGUAACCUGCCCUUGACUUUGGGAUAACUUCAGGAAACUGGGGCUAAUACCGGAUAGGAGCUCCUGCUGCAUGGUGGGGGUUGGAAAGUUUCGGCGGUUGGGGAUGGACUCGCGGCUUAUCAGCUUGUUGGUGGGGUAGUGGCUUACCAAGGCUUUGACGGGUAGCCGGCCUGAGAGGGUGGCCGGCCACAUUGGAACUGAGAUACGGCCCAGACUCCAACGGGAGGCAACGGUGGGGAAUAUUGCACAGUAGGCGGAAGCCUGGUGCGACAACGCCGCGUGCGGGAAGACGGCCUUCGGGUUGUAAACCGCUUUCGCCUGUGACGAAGCGUGAGUGACGGUAAUGGGUAAAGAAGCACCGGCUAACUACGUG
rnacentral:rRNA from 1 species